rnacentral:rRNA from 1 species
UACGUAGGGUGCAAGCGUUAAUCGGAAUUACUGGGCGUAAAGCGUGCGCAGGCGGCUUUGCAAGACAGAUGUGAAAUCCCCGGGCUUAACCUGGGAACUGCAUUUGUGACUGCAUGGCUGGAGUGCGGCAGAGGGGGAUGGAAUUCCGCGUGUAGCAGUGAAAUGCGUAGAUAUGCGGAGGAACACCGAUGGCGAAGGCAAUCCCCUGGGCCAACACUGACGCUCAUGCACGAAAGCGUGGGGAGCAAACAGG